GGAGGGUGCGAGCGUUGUCCGGAAUCACUGGGCGUAAAGGGCGCGUAGGUGGCCCGUUAAGUGGCUGGUGAAAUCCCGCGGCUCAACUGCGGGGCUGCCGGUCAGACUGGCGAGCUAGAGCACGGUAGGGGCAGAUGGAAUUCCCGGUGUAGCGGUGGAAUGCGUAGAGAUCGGGAAGAAUACCAGUGGCGAAGGCGUUCUGCUGGGCCGUUGCUGACACUGAGGCGCGACAGCGUGGGGAGCAAACAGGAUUAGAUACCCUGGUAGUCCACGCCGUAAACGAUGGACACUAGACGUCGGGGGGAGCGACCCUCCCGGUGUCGUCGCUAACGCAGUAAGUGUCCCGCCUGGGGAGUACGGCCGCAAGGCUG
rnacentral:rRNA from 1 species